UUUUCAGUGUCGCAGCGAAAGCGAUAAACACACCGCCUGGGGAGUACGACCGCAAGGUUAAAACUCAAAUGAAUUGACGGGGACCCGCACAAGUAGUGGAGCAUGUGGUUUAAUUCGAAGAUACGCGCAGAACCUUACCAACACUUGACAUGUUCGUCGCGACUUUAAGAGAUUAAAGUUUUCGGUUCGGCCGGACGAAACACAGGUGCUGCAUGGCUGUCGUCAGCUCGUGUCGUGAGAUGUUGGGUUAAGUCCCGCAACGAGCGCAACCCUCACUUUUAGUUGCCAUCAUUAAGUUGGGCACUCUGAAAGAACUGCCAGUGAUAAGCUGGAGGAAGGUGGGGAUGACGUCAAGUCCUCAUGGCCCUUACGUGUUGGGCUACACACGUGCUACAAUGGUAUCUACAACAGGAAGCAAAACGGCGACGUUAAGCAAAUCCUUAAAAGAUACCUCAGUUCGGAUUGCACUCUGCAACUCGAGUGCAUGAAGCUGGAAUUACUAGUAAUCGUGGAUCAGCGUGCCACGGUGAAUGCGUUCCCGGGUCUUGUACACACCGCCCGUCACACCAUGGGAGUUGGUUCUACCUUAAGGCAAGGUUUCAAACCCUUGACCACGGUAUAGUCAGCGACUGGGGUGAAGUCGUAACAAGGUAGCCGUAGGGGAACCUGCGGCUGGAUUACCUCCUU
rnacentral:rRNA from 1 species